rnacentral:rRNA from 1 species
AUUGAACGCUGGCGGCAGUCCUCACACAUGCACGUCGAACGAGUGGCGGACGGGUGUGUAAUGUCUGGGAAACUGCCUUAUGGAGGGGGAUAACUACUGGAAACGUUAGCUAUUACCGCAUACCAUCGGAUGUUCCCAGAUGGGAUUAGCUAGUAGGUGGGGUAAAGGCUCACCUAGGCGACGAUCCCUAGCUGGUCUGCGAGGAUGACAAGCCACACUGGAACUGAGACACGGUCCAGACUCCUACGGGAGGCAGCAGUGGGGAAUAUUGCACAAUGGGCGCAAGCCUGAUGCAGCCAUGCCGCGUGUAUGAAGAAGGCCUUCGGGUUGUAAAGUACGUUCAGCGGGGAGGCGUUACCCGCAGAAGAAGCACAGGCUAACUCCGUGCAAGCAACCGCGGUAAUAC